UAGGGAAUCUUCGGCAAUGGACGAAAGUCUGACCGAGCAACGCCGCGUGUGUGAAGAAGGUUUUCGGAUCGUAAAACUCUGUUGUUAGAGAAGAACAAGGACGUUAGUAACUGAACGUCCCCUGACGGUAUCUAACCAGAAAGCCACGGCUAACUACGUGCCAGCAGCCGCGGUAAUACGUAGGUGGCAAGCGUUGUCCGGAUUUAUUGGGCGUAAAGCGAGCGCAGGCGGUUUCUUAAGUCUGAUGUGAAAGCCCCCGGCUCAACCGGGGAGGGUCAUUGGAAACUGGGAGACUUGAGUGCAGAAGAGGAGAGUGGAAUUCCAUGUGUAGCGGUGAAAUGCGUAGAUAUAUGGAGGAACACCAGUGGCGAAGGCGGCUCUCUGGUCUGUAACUGACGCUGAGGCUAGAAAGCGUGGGGAGCAAACAGG
rnacentral:rRNA from 1 species